rnacentral:rRNA from 1 species
GACGAACGCUGGCGGCGUGCCUAAUACAUGCAAGUUGAGCGAUGAAGAUUGGUGCUUGCACCAAUUUGAAGAGCAGCGAACGGGUGAGUAACGCGUGGGGAAUCUGCCUUUGAGCGGGGGACAACAUUUGGAAACGAAUGCUAAUACCGCAUAACAACUUUAAACAUAAGUUUUAAGUUUGAAAGAUGCAAUUGCAUCACUCAAAGAUGAUCCCGCGUUGUAUUAGCUAGUUGGUGAGGUAAAGGCUCACCAAGGCGAUGAUACAUAGCCGACCUGAGAGGGUGAUCGGCCACAUUGGGACUGAGACACGGCCCAAACUCCUACGGGAGGCAGCAGUAGGGAAUCUUCGGCAAUGGACGAAAGUCUGACCGAGCAACGCCGCGUGAGUGAAGAAGGUUUUCGGAUCGUAAAACUCUGUUGGUAGAGAAGAACGUUGGUGAGAGUGGAAAGCUCAUCAAGUGACGGUAACUACCCAGAAAGGGACGGCUAACUACCUG